UUGUGCACGUUCAUUGAAUGUGCUGAGGGCGGUGGGGCGGCCUCGCUGCCCGCGGGGACGGCGGAUCCGGCGCUCCCGGGGCGGAAUUCCCAUCCCGGAGGGGUCCGGAGUGCGGGGGGUCGGCCCCACGCCGGUAUCGGUGUCACCACGCCGGGGCCCGGGGCGGGGGGUGUCGGUGCUGAGCCCCCGCCCGAGGGUGGCUCGGACAGAGCCCAUCGCUCCGGCUGAUCUUUUUUAUUUUUUGGAGGGGGGGAGAAGCAGAAACGAUUCUAUAACGAGAAGGGAAUAAGGAGAUUUGUAAACUAAUCCUCCCCCCUCCCCCCCGCCCAAACACUCGAUAAACCCCGGCGCAUCGGGGUGCAAAGGGCUGAGUGUUGCAAGAUCGCCGUGCACGGGGAUGCGUGUGCGGAUUCCCUGUAUCCCACUGGCUGAACCAGCCGGGAGAUUUGUGCACCGAGUGGAAAAAAAACUGCAGUCGUGGUGGUUUUUCGCUGGAAGUUUACAGCUCGGUUCCUGGGCUAAUCCAGUGUAUGCUUAGAGCGAAUGAUUGAAUGGGUUCGCUACGCUGUUUCUUUCCCUUAAGGUUUUUCUCCCAAAGAGCUUGAAAACAGGAACGCCAAGAAAAGUGCGUGGAGCGCUGAAGUGUUUUAUUUGCAAGACUUAGAGAAACUUCGUUGUUUAGCAAAUAAUAAAGUUUAGAAAACUGUGGUGGCGUUAAACUUAAUUUAGUUAAGGAUCCGUGUUUUCUGUCACAGAAAGCACAUUUCAUAAAAUGUAAGUCAUCUCGAACAGGGUGAUGCUUUAUUAUGAGUUCUGUGGGUUUUGGUGGUAUGUUUUCUGAAUGAAGUUAAGUUACACAUCAAAUGAAGUUGUGCACUGGUGGCACUGACACUGAUUUUUCCAUUAAAAAAAGUUCGUAAUCGGUGAAAACUAUACCAACAUUUCUUGUCCAGCUUUAUUUAUUUAUGUUAGAGAGAAAAACGUGAGUGUGUUUGUUAAUGUGGGUGUUUUAAAGGCAGCUGCAGUGUCUGGAGUUUGUUUCAAAUUUAAGACUAAUUUUUUGUAAAACUUUGUGUUUUUCAAGUUUCAUUUCAAAGUGAAGGAAGAUCACUUUUGGACCUUUUUUUACUGUCCCAGUGAAUGAUUUUUGGAGUGCAGAUACAUCAGAAGGAACCAGUGUCCAGCUCAAGAGUUGUUUCACUCCCUGCUUUCUCCUCCCUCAGCAGUGCAUGUGGAGAAAAAAAAUCUUCAAGAAAAUCCUGCUGCUCCUCCAGCUAAAAUGCAGAGUCAGAUUUCUGCCAUUGUAUGAAUUUAUGGAAUAGCAGGCAGAAAUAUUUCAUCAGUCAGUUUGCACAUUGUGACAAAUGAAUCCCGAAGCACCAUCAUAUCGAAUAUUUCCAAAGGGACAUUGAUUUUGGGUGGCCAGCUCAGCAAGCAAAGAAGUGUUUGAUGGCACAGUUGAGAUAUUGCUGGUGGUUUGUACCUCUAUUCCAUGUCACUAUUUCAUAAUCAUCUCAUGAGAGGUUUAAGUGUUGCUGUCGGUCUGCUGGGCGUGUGCUGACUGUAUUCACAAUCUGUCCUUUUUUUAAGGUGAGCUAGAAGUAAACCUCCUGUAUCACUCCAUGACACUAAAGAUGUUAAGCUGAUCUAGUUAAAACCACUUGUCAUCAAGGGCAUCUAAAAAUCUCUUUAAAAAAAAAAAAAAAAGACAGCUUAAAAACUAUUUCCCUGUUUGGAAAGAUUAAAACUCUGUAGGACCUGUAUAAACAUUUGUUUUAGCCAUUUUUUCUAUUGUUUUUCAUAGAAAGAAUUAAUACGGACACAUCAUUAGUAAAUCCUGUGAAAACAAGUUAAGCAGAAGAAAGGAUACCAUAGCAGAAUGAAUCAUUUAUGCUUGUUUUGUUCUUUCACCAUUACUGUGGUGUCAAAUUAACUCGGUGCCAUUUUAAAUGUACCACGUUGUCCCCAAACCCAGCUGAAGUGAAAACCAGGCGAGUUUGAGCUGAGAAAAAAAGCUGAACAAGCUCCUGAGCUGCUCAUCCUCACCCAGGUUGUGUCUGGCCUGGCAACCAGAAGAACUGGAACUCGGAACAUGGCAUGCAACCUGACUCCCUGAAAUACUGCACUGCAAACUGCCUCUUUUAUGGCUGCUUGGAGGGCUGCUCCCUGGCAGGGUGUAGUUUGAUGUUUCCUUAAGCCAGGGCUCUUUCUAGAAGACAAAAAAAAAAAAAAAAAUCCAGCAGUGUGCAGGCAUUUGUGCUGUGCUGCCUUUGCAGUGCCUUGCCUGAUGUUUGUGGUGAUUAGGAAAUCGGUGUCUUGAAAAUAAUGUCCAAAAAAUGGUUGUUAUGCAGUUGGAUGAGUUUCUUGUGCACAUAUGUGUAAUGCUGGAGUGUCCUCACAGGUAGAAAGAAGUGUUUGGGGAUGGGGCAGUUGGAUUUUGUCAGGUUUGUGAAAUCUCUGAAAAUAUGGGGGACACCCUGAACACAAAAUAAAAAGGUGGCUGUGUGAAGGGCUGCUGAGGAGCAGAAUUGGAGGGAGGUGUGUGAGCACCCAUCUUGCUGCAGCUGCUCGGUUGCUGUCUCGUGUUUUAAAAGGCUGAAGAAACCGGAUUUGUCUGCCCACUUCUUUUUCAUUGCUCAGAAGGGUCUGGGCUCAUCUUUUGCCCAUGGAGUGAGUAGUUAUUCCAGGCUUCCGUGAUCUUGGGAAUUCAGGCUGCAGCUGAAGCUGGGAGUUUCGGUAGCCAGAAGGGAUCAUUUGCCUUUCUAAAAUGUGAAUGGUGAUUCCACAGAGAGUAAAGUGGGUGAAUGUGGGUUGGUUGACUUAAAAAAAGGAAGUCUGGGAAAACUGACAUAGAACUUAAAUUUGGAACUAUAUGGCAGCAUGCAAAUAGGCUAAAACCCACAGGUUUUGUGAAUCACUGCUAUUUAUUCUGUGCAUUCUAGACUAUAGCACUGAUCUGGAGACUUCUUAGAAUGGAUCCAGCCAUUUAUCUAUUAAUAAAUCCAGUUUCUGUAGGCAGUUGCUCAGACAUACUGGUCUUUCCAUUCACGUAGCUGUUAAAAUACUUGUAAAGUUAAGUGGGGUUUUGUUUAUAGGUAAACUGAGCAGUCUCAUUUCUGUUUAGUGGUCGACACACAACAUGCUGUGUCGUACAAAACUGCCAAAUCUGUUAUAAUAGAAGUUGCUGGCCUUGGGCCAUUGGAUUAUAGUCAUUUGUCACUCUAAUGCCAUUUCAGCAAUGUAGAUGUUCAUUUCCAAAGAAUUAAACAUGCUGGAACUGCG